rfam:Dipodomys ordii contig_72565, whole genome shotgun sequence.
GGUGGCUCAGUGGUAGGGUGCUUGCCUUGCAUGCAUGAGGCCCUGGGUUCAAUUCCUCAGCACCA